GAGUUGUACGUGUUUUGCUUUGUCGGUCGGUCAGUCGGUAUUUUUCCCCCGCUGAAAAAUAAGAAUUAAAACCCAAACUAAAUUGAUGAAAUAUUGUGCAAUUGUAAUGAAAAGUGCAAAUUGUGUACUAAUUUGAAGCGACGCAAGAACGUGCAGCAAAGCGAACAAAAACAAAAACAGCGAGUGCGUUUUUUUAAGUAGCCGUAACUAUAAACGCGGCUAAGCCGCAGCCAGUAAAGUACGAACAGCUAGCGAGAAGCAGCCAAAAAAGUUGAUUAUUCCGUCUAAUUAAAAAAAGGUAGACAAGCGUGAACAAUGCGCAGACAGUUGCUGGCUGAGGUCGCUGGCAGGACACCAACCGAAAGGAUAAUCAACAACAACAACGCACAGCAACCAGCUAAGCUGUAACAACAACAACAA